rnacentral:rRNA from 1 species
AUUGAACGCUGGCGGCAUGCUUUACACAUGCAAGUCGAACGGUAACAGGCCGCAAGGUGCUGACGAGUGGCGAACGGGUGAGUAAUGCAUCGGAACGUGCCCAGUCGUGGGGGAUAACGCAGCGAAAGCUGCGCUAAUACCGCAUACGAUCUAUGGAUGAAAGCGGGGGACCGAAAGGCCUCGCGCGAUUGGAGCGGCCGAUGUCAGAUUAGGUAGUUGGUGGGGUAAAGGCUCACCAAGCCGACGAUCUGUAGCUGGUCUGAGAGGACGACCAGCCACACUGGGACUGAGACACGGCCCAGACUCCUACGGGAGGCAGCAGUGGGGAAUUUUGGACAAUGGGCGCAAGCCUGAUCCAGCAGUGCCGCGUGCAGGAAGAAGGCCUUCGGGUUGUAAACUGCUUUUGUACGGAACGAAAAGGCUCUGGUUAAUACCUGGGGCUCAUGACGGUACCGUAAGAAUAAGCACCGGCUAACUACGUGCCAGCAGCCGCCGUAACAC